rnacentral:rRNA from 1 species
CCUACGGGAGGCUGCAGUGGGGAAUAUUGCACAAUGGGGGAAACCCUGAUGCAGCGACGCCGCGUGAGUGAAGAAGUAAUUCGUUACGGAAAGCUCUAUCAGCAGGGAAGAAAAGGACGGUACCUGAGUAAGAUGCCCCGGCCAACUACGUGCCAGCAGCCGCGGUAAUACGGAGGGUGCAAGCGUUAUCCGGAUUUACUGGGUGUAAAGGGAGCGUAGGCGGUGUGCCAAGUCUGGAGUGAAAUGCUGCAGCUUAACUGGGGAACUGCAUUGGAAACUGGCGAACUAGAGUGCGGGAGGGGUAGGCGGAAUGCGUGGUGUAGCGGUGAAAUGCGUAGAUAUUAGGAAGAACCCCGAUGGCGAAGGCAGCUUACUGGACCGUAACUGACGUUGAGGCUCGAAAGCGUGGGGAGCAAACAGGAUUAGAUACCCCUGUAGUC